CCAGACUCCUACGGGAGGCAGCAGUGAGGAAUAUUGGUCAAUGGGCUUACGCCUGAACCAGCCAAGUCGCGUGAGGGAAGACUGCCCUAUGGGUUGUAAACCUCUUUUGUCAGGGAGCAACGCCGGCUACGUGUAGCCGGACUGAGAGUACCUGAAGAAAAAGCAUCGGCUAACUCCGUGCCAGCAGCCGCGGUAAUACGGAGGAUGCGAGCGUUAUCCGGAUUUAUUGGGUUUAAAGGGUGCGUAGGCGGAAUGCAAAGUCAGGGGUAAAAUUUCGGGGCUCACCCCCGCCGAGCCGUUGAAACUGGCUUGCUAGAGUGGGCGAGAAGUAUGCGGAAUGCGUGGUGUAGCGGUGAAAUGCAUAGAUAUCACGCAGAACUCCGAUUGCGAAGGCAGCAUACCGGCGCCCGACUGACGCUGAGGCACGAAAGCGUGGGGAUCGAACAGGAUUAGAUACCCGGGUAA
rnacentral:rRNA from 1 species